rnacentral:lncRNA from 1 species
AAUCACAAAAGUUUGCUUUAACUCAAAGGACAACAUGAAUACAAUGUAGCCUCUCAAAAGAAGCAAAGGAAUUGUAUUGACUUCAUCAUUGACCAAUUGGAAAACUCUAUCGAGGAUGAGGUUUUAUUUCCUUGAUUGCAGGUUUGCUUGGGAAUUUCGGCAGUGGUCUGACUCCAUAUUCCAAAUUCAAAUUCCUUAUAAUAUUGACGAUCGACAUCCUGAAAUGGUGCCUUGUCGAUGGUUUAAACAAUGUUAGAUAGUUGUGCUGCGCAAGCAUUGACAUUAUUUGGUAUUGUCAGAAUUAGGCUUGGUUUAAGGAUCACAGAAUCAGGUUUAAAGCAGCGUUCAAUCUUAUAUAUAAUAGUGUCGCCAUUACAUGCAAUUGCACUAGGUCUCAUGGGCUCGGUUUCUAUAUUAGAAUUUCAGAUUCUCAAAGCUCGGUCCGGGUACAUCCUCCAAAGCUCUGGUGAUUAAAGAGAUUUAUUGAUAUCCUCCUAAAGCUUCUUGGAUCAAAUGCAAAUACCCUUGGGUGUCUUGACUUUGCGCUGCUUGUGGAGGAAUAUUGCGUAAUUGUUUGGCGGCUAUCUUUUCUCGCAGGGAUUAUGGGUGUGAUGACUGCUAUUGAAAUUGUUAGAAUGUGAUAUAAUUCUCAACUGUUUUGAUAUUUAGUUAGUUGGAAGUUAGUUUUAGUUUGUUAAUAAGUUGGUUACA